rnacentral:rRNA from 1 species
UACGGGGGGAGCAAGCGUUGUUCGGAUUUACUGGGCGUAAAGGGCGCGUAGGCGGCCUGCUAAGUCGAACGUGAAAUCCCCGAGCUCAACUCGGGAACUGCGUCCGAUACUGGCAGGCUUGAAUCCGGGAGAGGGAUGCGGAAUUCCAGGUGUAGCGGUGAAAUGCGUAGAUAUCUGGAGGAACACCGGUGGCGAAGGCGGCAUCCUGGACCAACACUGACGCUGAGUGAGCGAAAGCCAGGGGAGCAAACGGG